AGUCAGAAUCAGGCUGCAACUCCUCAAUUUGCCUUGUCCUGGUCACCUUCUAAAUCUAAAUUUUCCUCGAGAUCUUCUUCUAAGUCUUCCUCUAAAUUUUCUUCUGGAUCUUCCACCUGAUCCUCCUUUAGGUCCUCUUCGGCCUCUUUCAUUCUAGGCUCUACCUUUACUUCAUAUUUAGCUAUUAGAAACUAUGGUAACCUUAAACCAGCCUUCCUCGCAUAGUCUUCGUAGAUUGGUCUUGCUUCUUGCAUCCAUCAAAUUAUCCAUUCUAAAUCAGGUUAAUGAUGCCAGGGAAUCAAACCUUUCUCCUAAAGAGGACAUUUCCUUCGAAUGGACUAUGGAAUAUGAGAAAGGAAGAAAAAUGGUGAAAUCUCAAAGAAUAGGGUAGCAAAAGUUUGUGUGGUUGCUUGUGAAGGCUUGGAGGAUGCAGCUACUACUAAGGACAAUAUAUAGAGGUCGUUUAGGGCUUCAUUUGUCAUGCAAUAUUAGAGAAUAUAUAGUUGUCAAAAAUGGCCUACAUGUUGCGUUAUAGAGAAGGCAUCGCGUGGCACGAAGUGAAUUUCUAUACUUAUUUUUGCUUCAAAGUGGUUAUGUCGCAUCAUAGAAUUUGCAUGGUGCGACACAAUAAUAAAUUCUCAGAUUUCUAUGUUUAAGAUGGGUGUGUCGUGCCAUGGGAUUGUUAUAUGAUGACAUGGCUUCAGUUUAGCCUUUCGGGGA